CCUACGGGGGGCAGCAGUGGGGAAUAUUGCGCAAUGGGCGAAAGCCUGACGCAGCGACGCCGCGUGAGGGAUGAAGGUCUUCGGAUCGUAAACCUCUGUCAGCAGGGAAGAACGGUCACUGUGCUAAUCAGCAGUGAAUUGACGGUACCUGCAAAGGAAGCACCGGCUAACUCCGUGCCAGCAGCCGCGGUAAUACGGAGGGUGCGAGCGUUAAUCGGAAUUACUGGGCGUAAAGCGCUCGUAGGCGGUCUGUCAAGUCAAGGGUGAAAUCCCCGCGCUCAACGUGGGAACUGCCUUUGAAACUGGCAAACUGGAGUGUGUGAGAGGAUAGUGGAAUUCCAGGUGUAGGAGUGAAAGCCGUAGAUAUCUGGAGGAACAUCAGUGGCGAAGGCGACUAUCUGGCACAUAACUGACGCUGAGGAGCGAAAGCGUGGGUAGCAAACAGGAUUAGAUACCCCGGUAGUC
rnacentral:rRNA from 1 species